AUGGUAAGUGUGGCAUUUCUGAAGGCUCGGGGCUGUCCUUCUUGACGUGACACUUACGAGCCAUCACGGAAGCGCUGAGAGUCUGAUACGCCGGAACCGGUGUGUUUCCUCUACAGUUCUGCUGAUGCUCUGUGAUCUUGGAAUGCUCAUAGACUUCAUGGAUAGCAGAUAGGGAAUGCUCAUGAAUGACCAGAGACGUACUCACCAGAGGAAAACAAAAAUGCCAGAGUGAGGAGACUCAAGCAAGAUGUGAGACUCAUUGUGGAGAAGGUAUUGCCUAUGAAAUGCAACUUUUGAAUGUUGAGGUACAGAAACAAACAUAAUAAUUCUAUCAAGAGCACAAUUCACAAUUGCAAAGAUGUGGAAACAACCCAAAUGCUCAUCAAUCCACGAAUGGAUUAGUAAACUG